GACGACGCUGGCGGCGUGCUUAACACAUGCAAGUCGAACGAGUGGCGGACGGGUGAGUAAUGUCUGGGAAACUGCCCGAUGGAGGGGGAUAACUACUGGAAACGGUAGCUAAUACCGCAUACCAUCGGAUGUGCCCAGAUGGGAUUGGCUAGUAGGUGGGGUAAAGGCUCACCUAGGCGACGAUCCCUAGCUGGUCUGAGAGGAUGACCAGCCACACUGGAACUGAGACACGGUCCAGACUCCUACGUGAGGCAGCAGUGGUGAAUAUUGGACAAUGGGCGCAAGCCUGAUGCAGCCAUGCCGCGUGUAUGAAGAAGGCCUUCGGGUUGUAAAGUACUUUCAGCGGGGAGGCGUUACCCGCAGAAGAAGCACCGGCUAACUCCGUGCCAGCAGCCGCGGUAAUUC
rnacentral:rRNA from 1 species